rnacentral:rRNA from 1 species
GAUGAACGCUAGCGGCAGGCUUAAUACAUGCAAGUCGAGGGGCAGCAUGAUUGUAGCAAUACAAUUGAUGGCGACCGGCAAACGGGUGCGGAACACGUACACAACCUUCCAAUAAGUGGGGAAUAGCCCAGAGAAAUUUGGAUUAAUACCCCGUAACAUAACGAUGUGGCAUCACAUUGUUAUUAUAGAUUUAUCGCUUAUUGAUGGGUGUGCGGCUGAUUAGAUAGUUGGCGGGGUAACGGCCCACCAAGUCUACGAUCAGUAGCUGAUGUGAGAGCAUGAUCAGCCACACGGGCACUGAGACACGGGCCCGACUCCUACGGGAGGCAGCAGUAAGGAAUAUUGGACAAUGGACGCAAGUCUGAUCCAGCCAUGCCGCGUGAAGGAUUAAGGUCCUCUGGAUUGUAAACUUCUUUUAUAAGGGACGAAAAAAGGCUUUUCUAAGUCGUCUGACGGUACCUUAUGAAUAAGCACCGGCUAACUCCGUGCCAGCCGCCGCUGUAACAC